GAUGACCGCUGGCGGCGUGCCUAAUACAUGCAAGUCGAGCGAACAGACGAGGAGCUUGCUCCUCUGACGUUAGCGGCGGACGGGUGAGUAACACGUGGAUAACCUACCUAUAAGACUGGGAUAACUUCGGGAAACCGGAGCUAAUACCGGAUAAUAUAUUGAACCGCAUGGUUCAAUAGUGAAAGACGGUUUUGCUGUCACUUAUAGAUGGAUCCGCGCCGCAUUAGCUAGUUGGUAAGGUAACGGCUUACCAAGGCAACGAUGCGUAGCCGACCUGAGAGGGUGAUCGGCCACACUGGAACUGAGACACGGUCCAGACUCCUACGGGAGGCAGCAGUAGGGAAUCUUCCGCAAUGGGCGAAAGCUUGACGGAGCAACGCCGCGUGAGUGAUGAAGGUCUUCGGAUCGUAAAACUCUGUUAUUAGGGAAGAACAAAUGUGUAAGUAACUAUGCACGUCUUGACGGUACCUAAUCAGAAAGCCACGGCUAACUACGUG
rnacentral:rRNA from 1 species